rnacentral:ncRNA from 1 species
AAGAUAGAGGUUGCGUAGUUCAAUAGUAUUUCUUCUGAUGCGGCAGGCGCAGAUGAGGGAGAGAGAAAGGGAAAUACGCCGAAAGAGGAGAUACCCUGCGGAUUGAGUCUUGGGCAUACGGUUAAGAGUCGUAUGACUGUCAUCUGUGUUGCUUCGUUUUGACAACGAACAACAAUAAUCGGAUGGGGAGCUGUCCGG